UUGCCGAUGAUGAUAUCUGAUUACACCAAAUUACCAUCUGAAUGGCUUUGAAAGCCUUGCUGCCAUUCUGCAAUUCUGAGGCGC